GACGGGGGGUCCUAGCGUUGUUCGGAAUCAUUGGGCGUAAAGCGUGUGCAGGUGGCUUUGUAAGUCAGAUGUGAAAGCCCCGGGCUCAACUCGGGAAGUGCAUUUGAAACUACAAAACUUGAAUAUGGAAGAGGGUCGUGGAAUUCCUGGUGUAGUGGUGAAAUACGUAGAUAUCAGGAGGAACACCGGUGGCGAAGGCGGCGACCUGGUCCAAUAUUGACACUCAUACACGAAAGCGUGGGGAGCAAACAGG
rnacentral:rRNA from 1 species